rnacentral:rRNA from 1 species
AUGAAUGCUGGCGGCGUGCCUAACCCAUGCAAGUCGAGCGGCAGCGAGGGGUGCUUGCACCCUGUCGGCGAGCGGCGAACGGCUGAGUAACGCGUAGGAAUUUGCCCCAAAGUGAGGAAUAACUGCCCGAAAGGGUAGCUAAUGCCGCAUAUGGUCUUCGGAUUAAAGGAUUUAUCCGCUUUGGGAGAAGCCUGCGUUGGAUUAGGUUGUUGGUAGGGUAAUGGCCUACCAAGCCGACGAUCCAUAGCUGGUCUGAGAGGAUGAUCAGCCAGACUGGAACUGAGACACGGUCCAGACUCCUACGGGAGGCAGCAGUGAGGAAUCUUCCACAAUGGGCGAAAGCCUGAUGGAGCAACGCCGCGUGAAGGAUGAAGGCCUUCGGGUUGUAAACUUCUUUUAUGAGUGAAGAAUAUGACGGUAACUCAUGAAUAAGCACCGGCUAACUACGUG